AUGGUGUCGGACAACCGUGGACAGGUGUCGCUCUGGCCUUCGGCGGGUCCUGCACUGACCUGCUUGUCAUGUGUCCUUAACACACGUGCUGUUGAGUCUGCUCCUGAGAGAAGCUCAGAAAGAAGUAGGGCACGCGGUUCCUUUGAAGCUAUGAGGAAGCAGGCCCAGAGUGGCAUGUGGGCUCAGACCCCGCUGGAUCUCCACCCCCCGCUGGACCAGCAAUGGGAAGCAGCGCAGCCCUCCGUACAGCAGAGGUGUGGGCAUAGCCACCCCAGGAAACUGUACCCCAGGAGGAUGCCCGAGUGAGGGGGGCCGUGAGGAGCGAAAGAUCUUCUCUUUUCCAGAAAUGUACGUAAUUGUUUUCAAGAAAAGGCUUU
rnacentral:lncRNA from 1 species